rnacentral:rRNA from 1 species
UACGUAGGGUGCGAGCGUUGUCCGGAAUUAUUGGGCGUAAAGGGCUCGUAGGCGGUUUGUCACGUCAGGAGUGAAAACUCGGGGCUCAACCCCGAGCCUGCUUCUGAUACGGGCAGACUAGAGGUAUGCAGGGGAGAACGGAAUUCCUGGUGUAGCGGUGAAAUGCGCAGAUAUCAGGAGGAACACCGGUGGCGAAGGCGGUUCUCUGGGCAUUACCUGACGCUGAGGAGCGAAAGUGUGGGGAGCAAACAGG